GACCUAAGUCCUAGAUUAUCCCAGGAUAUGGUCUAAAAACUCUCCCGAGUAUUGAGCUCCUCGUCAGAGCACUCGGGAGAGUCAUAUCCCGAAAGGGAUAUGGGUGGCGAAAGCCAUC
rnacentral:sRNA from 12 species